rnacentral:rRNA from 1 species
AUUGAACGCUGGCGGCAGGCCUAACACAUGCAAGUCGAACGAGUGGCGGACGGGUGAGUAAUGUCUGGGAAACUGCCUGAUGGAGGGGGAUAACUACUGGAAACGGUAGCUAAUACCGCAUACCAUCAUAUGUGCCCAGAUGGGAUUAGCUUGUUGGUGGGGUAACGGCUCACCAAGGCGACGAUCCCUAGCUGGUCUGAGAGGAUGACCAGCAACACUGGAACGGAGACACGGGCCAGACUCCUACGGGAUGCAGCAGUGGGGAAGAUUGCAAAAGGGGCGAAAGCCUGAUGCAGCCAUGCCGCGUGUAUGAAGAAGGCCUUCGGGGUGUAAAGUAAUGAAAGCGGGGAGGCGGUACCCGCAGAAGAAGCACCGGCUAACUCCGUGCCAGCAGCCGCGGUAAUUC